GAUUGCCAAAGGGAAGGUGGGUCUUCUUAGAUGGGCGAACAUGCCACCACCAUCCUUGCUUCGUGUUAUGAAGAAUGAUGGCCUCCCUUGUCCGCCGUCAAAUUCUUCUUAGUUCUAGGAGGAGAGUUCAAUCUGAUGUUUAACUAGUUUGUACUUUGGGCCCUGUUUUCUGGGGUUAUUUGGGCUUGCCCUUUUAAUGAAGUUCCUUCUUCC
rnacentral:lncRNA from 1 species